CUACGUGCCAGCAGCCGCGGUAAUACGUAGGGUGCAAGCGUUAAUCGGAAUUACUGGGCGUAAAGCGAGCGCAGACGGUUACUUAAGCAGGAUGUGAAAUCCCCGGGCUCAACCUGGGAACUGCGUUCUGAACUGGGUAGCUAGAGUAUGUCAGAGGGGGGUAGAAUUCCACGUGUAGCAGUGAAAUGCGUAGAGAUGUGGAGGAAUACCGAUGGCGAAGGCAGCCCCCUGGGAUAAUACUGACGUUCAUGCCCGAAAGCGUGGGUAGCAAACAGGAUUAGAUACCCUGGUAGUCCACGCCCUAAACGAUGUCGAUUAGCUGUUGGGCAGCAUGACUGCUUAGUAGCGAAGCUAACGCGUGAAAUCGACCGCCUGGGGAGUACGGUCGCAAGAUUAAAACUCAAAGGAAUUGACGGGGACCCGCACAAGCGGUGGAUGAUGUGGAUUAAUUCGAUGCAACGCGAAGAACCUUACCUGGUCUUGACAU
rnacentral:rRNA from 1 species